AUUGAACGCUGGCGGCAGGCCUAACACAUGCAAGUCGAGCGAGCGGCGGACGGGUGAGUCAUGGCUGGACAUUUCCCAGUCGGGGGGGAUCACAGUUGGAAACGACUGAUAAUACCGCAUACGAUUGGAUUGCUCAUGUGGGGUUAGCUAGUUGGUGAGGUAAUGGCUCACCAAGGCGACGAACCCUAGCUGGUCUGAGAGGAUGAUCAGCCACACUGGAACUGAGACACGGUCCAGACUCCUACGGGAGGCAGCAGUGGGGAAUAUUGCGCAAUGGGGGAAACCCUGAGGCAGCCAUGCCGCGGGUGUGAAGAAGGCCUUCGGGUUGUAAAGCACUUUUAUCGAGGAGGCGGUACUCGCAGAAGAAGCACCGGCUAACUCCGUGCCAGCAGCCGCGGUAAUUC
rnacentral:rRNA from 1 species